rnacentral:lncRNA from 1 species
GGACAUUCUGGGGCUUCCCAUCUCCAACAUAAGAAGCUAAGAAGGCUGCAGCUUCCACCGGGCCUCUUGGGCUGCGUACUCUUGACACUCCUGCUCUGAGAACUAAGCAGGCAUAUUUCAUAUCAAAAUAGUAAAGAACUUCCUUUCCAAAGGCAGGACUUGCUUCUGUGAGGUACUGAGCCACCCGUCCCUGGAGGAAAGCAAGAACAGAGCAGAUCAGAGCCCAGGAAGACAUCUUGGAUGAUGGGGUACAUCUUGCCAUCCAGAGGCAAUGCUGGAGCGGGCAGUUGUCUGCGGGGAGGCCCUGGCUCACUCUGGGCCAAAUAACAGGACUGAUUGCAGCCAGCGAUGAAACAUCCUGUUUCUCCCAACCAGAAACAGGUAGAGGAGAGAAGAGCCCCAGUGAGAGAGUGAAGCAGAUGAAAAGAUAACAUGAAAACCAACCAAGCAACGAACAAACAAACAAAAUAACCCAUUUCAAGUUCUCGGAGCCUGGUCUCAUUUCCAGCUGGAAAUUACUGCUGCAGACUGCAGGGUGGUCCCUGCACUCCCUGUGUAUAUGAUCUAGUGGUUGCUAAUGUCAUUAGAGAGAGAAAGACGUACACUGCUAUGAGAAGUCAGCAUUUUACAUGAUUCUGGGAGGGAAGAAAGGAGACAGGAACCAAGGAGCCUGAGUAGGGAUUUGCCCACCGCUGGGCAGCCAGGCUCCUGUCAGGAAGGCUUUUCAGAGGGAGUGUUGGAAGGAGUCGUCGAGGAGUCUUCCUCACCCAGGAAGUCUUCCUCACCGGAUUGUCGUUGGAAAUGCAUUUUGCCCAACUUUUUUAUUCUUAAGGGAAAAAGUAUAAAAAGAAAGCUGCUCAUGAUUUGGAUUCUUUCAGAUAUAAGUAUUACUUUGACAUAGAUUCAUGUUAACUCAAGAAAUAAAUUCAUAAAUAAAAUACAGGAUCAGAUGAGCCUUCCUUGUCAUGCUUUGAAGGAAAUAUUUC